rnacentral:lncRNA from 1 species
GAACACAAACGUGUUUUGCUCAAGCAAAAUACAUACAGUUUAACAAAAUGACCAGACACGGAACAAAGUUUACCGAUGAUUAGGUCUUUUUAAUUUCGUUAAAAAGUCGAAUCGAUGUUUCAAACAAACUGUUAUAAUAUAUUGAUCAUAAAAGUGAACGCACGUUAACAAACCGUGAACAAAUUUUGGUAGUUAACUUCAAUGUUCUCGUU